rnacentral:rRNA from 1 species
AACGAACGCUGGCGGCAGGCUUAACACAUGCAAGUCGAGCGCCCCGCAAGGGGAGCGGCAGACGGGUGAGUAACGCGUGGGAAUCUACCCAUCCCUACGGAACAACUCCGGGAAACUGGAGCUAAUACCGUAUACGCCCUUCGGGGGAAAGAUUUAUCGGGGAUGGAUGAGCCCGCGUUGGGUUAGCUAGUUGGUGGGGU